UGGGGAAUAUUGGACAAUGGGCGCAAGCCUGAUCCAGCCAUACCGCGCGGGUGAAGAAGGCCUUCGGGUUGUAAAGCCCUUUUGUUGGGAAAGAAAUCCUGUCGGUUAAUAACCGGUGGGGAUGACGGUACCCAAAGAAUAAGCACCGGCUAACUUCGUGCCAGCAGCCGCGGUAAUACGAAGGGUGCAAGCGUUACUCGGAAUUACUGGGCGUAAAGCGUGCGUAGGUGGUGGUUUAAGUCUGCUGUGAAAGCCCUGGGCUCAACCUGGGAAUUGCAGUGGAUACUGGAUCACUAGAGUGUGGUAGAGGGAUGCGGAAUUUCUGGUGUAGCAGUGAAAUGCGUAGAGAUCAGAAGGAACAUCCGUGGCGAAGGCGGCAUCCUGGGCCAACACUGACACUGAGGCACGAAAGCGUGGGGAGCAAACA
rnacentral:rRNA from 1 species